GCCGAACAGGAAACCAUAUGAAUGUCGUAAACAGCCGAAUAGGAAAAACCAUACAAAUAGGUUUACACUCCUAGCAGUCAAACUGGAACAGCAUACAAUAAAUCCCCCAAGAACGAGACAAGGCUCCGUUUUGAGGGUCAAGCAUGAACAGACAGAGCUGUGGGUUUAUUGUUCUUAUAUACACCUUAGUACCACCCACAGGGUUUUGGAACACAACCAAUAAACACAUACAAU